AGGACCCAAGACCAAGACACCUGCCUGUCCGGAGAGAGCCAGAAGGGAGAGGAAGCUGAUGAGAGGCUUCCGCCUCGAUGCAAAGGAACCCAUGGAUGUUCUUAGAGACCUUCCUCUGAGACCACUCCCCCACACCUGACUCAGCCUCUCCCACUUCCCUCCCCUCUCCUAGGAGGUCAGAAAGAAGUCAUGGACUUGGGGAGGGGGACAAGAGCUACCCUGCCUCCAAUCUGAAUCUCUUCAAUCAACAAAUAUUCAAUCAAGACUUGUGCUAGAGUAAAGUACAGACUUUGAAAGUCAAGAAGAUCUGGGUUUAUAUUCCUGGC